rnacentral:rRNA from 1 species
ACAAAGAUUUGGUCCUAGCCUUACUGUUAUUUUUUGCCAAAUUUACACAUGCAAGUAUCAGCACACCAGUGAAAACGCCCUAAUAGUCCCAUCAGACAGAAGAGCGAUUCGGCGGACUACUUGUAGCAGUCUGCCAGAGAACACACUUAGAUUUGGUCCUAUAACUUACUGUUAUUUUUUGCCAAAUUUACACAUGCAAGUAUCAGCACACCAGUGAAAACGCCCUAAUAGUCCCAUCAGACAAAAGGAGCAGGUAUCAGGCACACCAUGACAGCCCAAAACACCUAGCUUUGCCACACCCCCAAGGGUAUCUCAGCAGUGAUAAAAAUUAAGCAAUAAGCAUAAGCUUGACUUAGUUACAGCAAACAGAGUUGGUCAAUCUUGUGCCAGCCACCGCGGUUAUACAAGAAACUCAAAUUAACAGAAAACCGGCGUAAAAUGUGACUAAAAUUACUAAUCUAAAAAAUUAAGGUAAACCUUCCACUCAACUGUCAUACGUAAAAGUACACAUUACCCCACUAUGAAAAUAACCUUAAUACAAAACAGAACCAUUUGAACCCACGAUCGCUAAGACACAAACUGGGAUUAGAUACCCCACUAUGCUUGGCCCUAAACCUAGAUAUUUAAGACACAAAAAUAUCCGCCAGAGAACUACGAGCAAAACGCUUAAAACUCUAAGGACUUGGCGGUACCUCAAACCCCCCUAGAGGAGCCUGUUCUACAAUCGAUAAUCCACGAUCCACCUCACCAUCUCUUGCCAAUCCCGCCUAUAUACCACCGUCACCAGCUUACCCCCUGAGGGUUAUAAAAGUAAGCAAAAUAACUAAAAACAGUUAACAAGUCAGGUCAAGGUGUAGCUUAUUGAGAUGGGAAGAAAUGGGCUACAUUUUCUAUAUUAGAAAUAAAUUUACGGAAAGGAACUAUGAAAUAAGUCCCACAAGUAGGAUUUAGCAGUAAACCGGGAUUAUGAACGCCCAAUUUAAGUCGGUCCUGAGGUGCGCACACACCGCCCGUCACCCUCCUCAAAUAACCCAGCUAACAUAAAUAAACCCACAAUAACAAACAGAUGAGGCAAGUCGUAACAAGGUAAGUACACCGGAAGGUGUACUUGGAACAUU